GAUGAAGAACGCAGCGAAAUGCGAUAAGUAAUGUGAAUUGCAGAAUUCAGUGAAUCAUCGAAUCUUUGAACGCGCCUUGCGGUCCUUGGUAUUCCGAGGAGCAUGCCUGUUUGAGUGUCAUGAAAUUCUCAACCUUUUCAGCUUUCUUUGUUGAUCAGGCUUGGAUGUGGGAGUAUGCGGGCUUCUCAGAAGUCGGCUCUCCUGAAAUGCAUUAGCGGGACCUUUGUUGCCUGGCUUUGGUGUGAUAAUUAUCUACGCCAUUGUAGUCAAGCAGCUUAAAACGAGGUUUCAGCUUCUAACCGUCUCCCCUGAGACAACUUUUUGACAAUUUGACCUCAAAUCAGGUAGGACUACCCGCUGAACUUAAGCAUAUCAAUAAGCGGAGGA
rnacentral:misc_RNA from 1 species